rnacentral:misc_RNA from 1 species
AACGCAAAUUGCGCUCUCGGGAUAGGCCUGGGAGCACGCCUCUUUGAGUAUCGUUUCAACCACAACUCGAAAGCGUGCUUAAUUGCAUCGCUGACGGAGAAUGAGCGCUCUCGUUUACGCGAGACGCUUGAAAUUGAGCGAGUGACUCUGCAUCUGUUGCAAGACAAUGCUUGUCCAGUGGUGACGAGGAUAACUUCACAUUCAAUUGUGAACCCUUCCAUCGUGACUGCGAGACUGAGUGCUGUCUGGCACGAUUGUGGAUUGUGUCACGGCCUGUCUGUGUGUCAUCUGUCGCGGUGAUCGCAGAACUCCUUUUGAACUAGAUCUCAAAUGAAGCGAGAAAACCCGCUGAACUUAA